UUCCCUUUGACCGAGCACUGAGUAGUUUUGUGGAUAUUGUCUGCGUUGGUCCCUAUGAAGGAUGGGAUUGUUUUUGUUUCUUUUUUCUCCCUCUCUUCUUUCUUUUCCCUUUCUUAUUUUUCCCUCUUACCCUAAAAAGAAAGUCGUGGUUAUGGCUCCUCUUACUAGGGGACACGGUAAGAGAGCCUGGAGGUGGAAAGCCUCCAGCACCUUCUGGAAUACACGUGUGAAAGACUUCUGUUUUCUCACAUUGUCUGAAGACUUCGAAUGUAGCUUAGUAGCGACCAUACUGAACUCUUCUUUUGUAGUCGAUACAAACUCCCCCCAUUUCUCUCUCUCUCUCUCUCUCUCUCUCUCUCUCUCUCCCCCCCUUCCUCCCUCCCCCUCUCCCGUCUCCACCCCUGUCAUCUUCAUCAUUUUUUUUUUGAUGAGCCACUAACUUGGGAUUCUAAUCAGUUAUUAA
rnacentral:lncRNA from 1 species